GACGAACGCUGGCGGCGUGCUUAACACAUGCAAGUCGAACGGAAAGGCCCUGCUUUUGUGGGGUUCUCGAGUGGCGAACGGGUGAGUAACACGUGAGUAACCUGCCCUUGACUUUGGGAUAACUUCAGGAAACUGGGGCUAAUACCGGAUAGGAGCUCCUGCUGCAUGGUGGGGGUUGGAAAGUUUCGGCGGUUGGGGAUGGACUCGCGGCUUAUCAGCUUGUUGGUGGGGUAGUGGCUUACCAAGGCUUUGACGGGUAGCCGGCCUGAGAGGGUGACCGGCCACAUUGGGACUGAGAUACGGCCCAGACUCCUACGGGAGGCAGCAGUGGGGAAUAUUGCACAAUGGGCGGAAGCGUGAUGCAGCAACGCCGCGUGCGGGAUGACGGCCUUCGGGUUGUAAACCGCUUUCGCCUGUGACGAAGCGUGAGUGACGGUAAUGGGUAAAGAAGCACCGGCUAACUACGUG
rnacentral:rRNA from 1 species